rnacentral:sRNA from 13 species
AAAAGAAAGGGGAAAAGUGAGUUAGUGGUGACACAAUUUCAAAUGAAAUUUAUGGUGACAUUUGGGGGAAACCACUUCCAGAACGAUCUAUAAAUAUAUUGUUUAUGACUAAAUAGGGAAGUGAGACAACAAAUGAUUUGUUUGGCUUAGUGGGGCUGGCGUUUCAAUUUGGGAUUAAAAUGUUGCGGGUGGGUGGCCCACAAAUCCACGAAUUGACAGCUCUCAAGUAGAAGUUUUCCACACACGAACAUGGGAAGUCUUCAACUCAAGUGGAGCCCGAAUGAAUCUAGUCGGGGACAGGGGUGGUUUGUUAUGCUAAUUGAAAAGCGAACGAGAAAAGCUUUUCCACUUAACUGGGAAAUUUAUGCAUCAACAGCGAGUGGAGGGGUCGGGGCAAAGAAAACUUUUCACCCAAUUUUCUGCCUCGUGACAUUCGCGUGGGUGUGGGCGGUUGUGGGCGGAGUGCAGUGAAGUGGAGUGGGAGAAUAGUGUGGAAGGUGCUGACGGAAAGGGGGAGGAAAAUCGGGGACUUGGGCACGCGACGAAUUCGGUCGAUUGGCCUGCGGUUUUUCAUAUCUCUACCCGCUCUCUGUUUCACUCACAUUUCUCUGCCGCCGAUGGCCUGAUUUCUGUGGAAUGCAUUUCCCAGUCGAUAGAAAGUUCCUACACAUAUUGCGACUGGCGGAAGAAAUCGAUAACAAACAACAAACUUUGCCCCACAUUGCCCAGACGAAAUCGAUAAGAUAAAGAGUUUGUUUGGAGUUGGAAGCUUACUUUCAUUGUUUGGCCAGCGCUUUAUUAUCUGGAGGCAUAAAUCAUCAUAUGCUGCGAUAUCAGGGUCACAAAAGUCAGCCAUAUAUGGAAUAUUAGUUCGAGAAUGGAGGGUAAUUAAUUGGAGAAAUUAGUUUAAUUUAUUUCGGCCUUUAGUGGUAUUUUCUUUUUCUCAGCCGAGUUCAAAUAGCCAAUCUGUUUACUAUACACCCCACUCCAUCUCCAUACCACAAUUUUUCCCGCCAUGAUGCGCUCCAAUGGAUUGGCAAAAUGCUAAACAUAUUACGAAUUUAUAGUUACACCAGCAGAGACAGAAAGACAGAGAAAAGGGGGAAAAACUUGGACAAGUAGAGUGAGACAUUCCCGCAUGGCUGAGACACAUGAAUGGGAAGGAGAAAAAGCGCAAGUGGAAAUAUGCAAAUUGUUUAUGUAAACAGAGGAAGCUCCAAGGCAAGGCCGAAAGUAGGAAAUGCCCGGAAAAUGAACGGGUGGCAUCGACAUAGACAUCGGUCAUGCAUGAGUGGGUGGCCAGCGAGGUCUUUGACCCAGCGAUCCGCAGACUAAAAGGGUAUUUCCAGGGUGAAACCAUGUCCAACUCACAGCAGGAUAACGACCGAAGGAUGAUACCAACUGCACUGCAGAUCAAAGGUUAACAGCAACUAAUAACUUGAAGCUGCGCAAAUUGUCAGCAGCAAAUUUGAAUGCCAUUUCAUGGCCUGUCAAUCAAUUUGGGAGAAAUCGAGGGAAACAAGCAGUGAAGCCCAUGAUUUUUUUGGCAGCUAGGGAAAAUGCUUUUCUUUUUUUUUGACAGAGUUUCCCCAUUCUGUGUGAGCAUUUUCGUUUGUGCGACUCCGUUUUCGCCACCUCGGUUGAAAGGUUAACAUAAUAUUUUUUGAUUGCAUUUCAAUUUCUGCACAUUGGCCAUAAAUCUUGCGCAAGUGGUAAAAAUUAAAAGUCAUAAAUUACGGUAGAAGACAAACCGCAAUUCCCAUUCCGAUACCCAGUCCCCCGGCUCCGCCAAUUUCAACUGCUGCGACUGUGCAAUUGCAAUUGCAACUGCAAUUGCCAUUGCAACUUUCAAUGCAGCGGCGUCGCCGGGGCAAUAAAAUUCAAUUUUUUGGCCACUUUAAUUACGCCGAUCCGUAAAUAGAGUCAAAGUUUACCAAAAAGAGCUGACAGCGGAUGACAACCGACCAGUUGGCCCAGUGGGUGGCAAACGACUUUUUAAUUGAAAUUACAUGGCAGCGAGCGAUUCCCUGCAGGAAUUUUUAAAGCAGCCGCGCAGAAGGAUGGAAUCUCAUUUGGCAACGAAGUGAAUUGAAUUAAAAGCAUAAGCGUUAUUUGAAAUUAUAAAGCCAAUCAAUUGAUUUGGAAUAUAAAGUAAUAUCCCUCUAUAUAAUUUAGUAUUUUUGAAACCUAGAAAAAUGUGGAGAAUGGAGUUCGCAGAGAUCUAUAACUUGUUCUACUUCUCAUGUUCUUCCCUCUCGAAUAACAAAUGUUACACAUGUCAGCUGCUCCAAACAAGAUAAUUCAGUUUCUCCCUUUUAUGUGGGUAGAGCUUUCAGUGCUGCGUGUUUUUGGAGAUCGGCGACAUGGGCUUAAUUAUUUUUUAAAUGAUUUCCCAACAGUUCGGUGUACCUACAAUGUUGUGUGUUUUUCCAGCCCACAGACGAACUCAAGGGAAUACGAACACAUGUAAGGCAAGCUUCGAGACCCAAGACCCAGACCCCGACCAAGCCUCAAUCUAUUGUUCGGAGAGUAAUGACGCCCCCACAGAAUGGGAAAUGGUUACCCGGGUUGCGAAGGCACAAAUUAAUCUCUGCCUUUUCCGAACUCCUAGUUGCGUUUGAAGUGAUAACAGGCAUAAUAAAGUUUUCAACACUCUAUGGUGAUCGAUGGGGACUGGGAGCUGACUAUCUGCCCACAGAUGCGAGUACAACAUGCAACAUUCGAGGAUGGGAUGGCCACCGAACCAUACUAGACCAUCCCAUUCGAAAUCCAAUCGCAGCAAUUCCAUUCCAUGACGUUGUCAUUUGGGAUUGCGUGACGAUGGCGCAUUUCUCGCAAGGAAUCAAAUUGAAUCUUCGUUUUGGGUGCUUGAAUUCAAAUUGAUGAGUUUGAUGGUUUUAUAAAUGUCUGGAAAACGUUUUGGCUUUCGAAUGAGAGAAAUCUUCGCUUAAUUUAAGAGCUUUACUGUCUUACAUAACAGAAGGAGUCCUGAACUUUGAUCAACCUUUUGUCGGCAAUCCUCGGCUGCAACUACAAAUUAUGAGUAUUGUACACUUUUUUUUUGAGCAGCUCAUAAAUUAAAGUUGCGCCUGAACCGCACCCGUCCAUCAAUUUUUAUUUGCGCCUUCAACUUGAGAUGUUCAAUUUUUCGGGGCUUGUCUGCCGGAAAACUGAUAUUGUUGCGCAGAUAAUUCGAGGAUGGGACGUCGUUGUCUGUUUGGCAAUUCAAGAGCAUCGCGAUUAGACAAUAUAAAUACAAAGUAAAAGGAGAGGUUGGGACUGCAUUAUGGAGAUGAUGUGCAGGCAGGAGAAAGUCUGAAACUAGAACCAAGGUGUGCAUCUCUAGGAUUUUGGGUAGAAACAAGCGGAUGCCGCCCACAGUUUCGGAGUAGUAAAUAAAUGAAUUCCCCUUCUAAAGCCUCCACUCAAAAUGAUGAGUUGCCACCCACCUAAUGUUGGCAACUUUCCCAUACCCAUACCCGUUUUCAAAUACAUUUUUAAUUACCCGAAACUCUGGUGUCCGGUUUUAUUUAAGUUGUUGUUAAAUACUGUUUACCAAUUUUCCCAGUUUAUUAAAUUAACCGGAAAGCUCUUGAAACAAAAAAAAAAAUAAUAAUAAUUAUGGAAGACAAUGAAAAAAGAGUUUCAAUUACCAAACUACAAGACUGAGUAACAGGUGGUUAAAGCUCGACUCUCCCGUUGAGCUUGCUCAUUUGACAGGAUAGCAAUUUUCACAGCCCCCGACCCCUUUUCCCAGCCACGCCCACAUUUACAAUGGCGCGUGAAAAUUUUAUUGCGAUUGUUGUUAAGAUAAUUUUCGGUGCACCAGCAGCCCGAAUCUCAUUUCCUAGCGGCUCCGAUCUGGUCACGUUCGCGGGAUUCUGCCUGGGAAAUCGAAAAAUCCGGUAAAUGACACCCAUGGCGUUCCGCGCCGGAAGAGAUUGCUCUCGGCGAUCCUUCAUCGGUUUCCUCAUUACGGAAAAUUACCCUGGGCCCAGAAAGAUCGUUACUCGCACCAAAUCCAGUAGCUCCAACUGAACUAUAAUCUACACUUUGCCCAGAAAUUGGGUUGGAAAUUGGAUUCGGUGUGGUAAUCAUGGCAAAUGGGGGUUCCAGAGCAAAUCGUUCUUGUUAGUGGACUCCAGAAUGACGGAGUAUUGGGUGUGUUUUACACCUCUAAUUCGCGGCAAGGCCAAAUGUCAGUUUUCAUUGGCAAAGACCAGCAAUUUUUAGGGCUUCUCAUAGAGGAACGCCUUCAAGAUAGUUUGAGCUGCCAGCCAUUUCUUUCACCAAAGUUGGCUGGUCGCAGCGGCUUGCAUUCAAAUCCCAUUCCAAAAAAUUGUAGUCUGCAAUUUAAUUUUCCCACUAAAAGUCUCUUAUUAAACUUGUAGCACUAUAAAUAGUUCUCAUAAAAUUGUGCUCCUUUUUCAACCACAAAAUUUCUGGCCUUUCAGUGUUCCCAAAGAUUGUUUUCACACUCGGGCUAAAUGGAAAUGCUUUUCAACUUUACGUUUCCGCAUGCACUUUUUCGCACAAAUAUUUCAAGUGGAAAUGCGUGGUGAGAGGGCGGAGCCACAUGCCACAGAAAACCGCGCGUGAACUGUUCACUUUUUUCACUUGGCAUAGUUGAUUUCCGGGCUUUUCUUUUAUAGACCUCCCUCAAUUAUGCAAACGAAUUUGUGGAAAUUGAGGGGAAUUAAGGUGAGGCAAACUCAUCAUUUAGUUUGAGCAGUUUUUGGGCUUCCUUUAAGACAAGUACGUCUCCUCUUUGCAUAAUUAGGUAUAAGAAAAGAGGAAGCUCUAAUAGGAGGCUUAAGGAUUGAAGGUUCCUUGGUUCAGGGCUAUUUGCAUACGGUCAAAACAAAGUCUAAAUUGAUACGAGAAUUGGCUGGGGAAAUAUAGUGAAAGCCAAUUGCCAGUGUCUUCUUCAUCGGCUUUAUAGUAUAUGGUGGCUUUAAGGCGCUUUGGCGUUCGGAAAGACCUCCAGAGUGGGAGGUGUCGACAGGGGUUAACCGAAUUAAUUUCCCAUUCAGUCACCGCUUAGAGAGAUGCCCCCGAGCAGAUAAUCGAAACCCCAGAGUCCGCGAAGCGAAGAAACACUUUUGCAUGACUUUUACUUGGUCUCCAAACGCAAACAGUGGAUUUGUGUACCCUAUUUUAAGUAGAAGAUGAGUCUGAUUUUUUAGAUAAAUAAUAGAUUGGCUCAUGAACCUUAGCUUGAUCACAGUCAUAUUUCGAUAAGGUAUAUCAACCACUCUUAGUUAGUCAAUUUCAUAAUCUGAGUUUAAAUAACCUCGAUCGCAGGGUAUUUAACUUUCGAUCUCAGCCGCGUGGAAUUCCUUUGCAGUUGCGAUUUCUGGUUUGUCUUGGCUCAAUUUGGUGAUGCGGCGGGGUUAUCAAAGCCCCAACAUCUUCCAAAAAUGCAAAAGUAAUGUUAUGCUUGGGGGCGGACCCGAGGGGUAUUUUCCAGCUUUUCAGUUGCCUGGUGUUGACUUUUCUUUAAUGGCUUCCGUUGAACUUGGGGAGGUCUCCAGCCAUCCAGUCACUGCGGCAUCGGAAAAGCAAAUGCAGCCACUGCAGCAGCUCAGCACAAAGGAAAAACAGCUGGGGGAAAAACUUUGGCCGCCGGCGAAGGUCACGAACGUCAAGUGCGUUUUUCAUGCAGGCGUGGCUGGGCGGAAAAGGGGAGGCAGAGACUUUCGGGGGAUCCCCGGGGCACGUGACUUUUUUGGUCAGGUGGGUAAUUAAGCGAAAGAGCCAAACAUUUGGUCAACGCCGAAGGCGGCAAUGAACUGUUGACCGCCACUCACAAGAAAUGCAUUACGGAUAAGUUGCAUCACCUGGUGACGGAACGAAUUUCCACAGCUCUUCAGCUCUCUCGAUUGGUUUUCCAGCGUUUUCCUGCACCAACUAAAUGCUAGGAAGGGAGAAACUCCAAUUUGAGAACAACAGAAACAAUAAAAAAAAACGCAUAAAGGGAAAUUGUUUUCUGUGUUUAUGGAUGGAAAAACUAUGUAGUUAUUGUCGGUGGUGCAAAGUGCAGGCAGGUGGUUCAAGGGGGAAGGGAGCUUGGAUACGGAGCGCAAGUGAAAACCCGGUGAAUUGGAACGAAAGCAUUUCGUGAAGGAGAAACGAAGGCGGUCUGUGGUCGUACUUCUAGUUCUGGCUCUGGCCAACGGAAAAUGGGUAAUGGUAAUGGAAUGGAAAUGGUAAUUGGAGCGGGUUUCGAGCAUGAUAAUAAGUGUAGCAUGUGCUGGAGAUUGUUUUGGGCGGAUCUUAGCCGGUGAAUUGAGAGCGGAAAAUGGGGUGCUUAGUUCAAAAUUUGGUUAUUAUUAUAUGUUGUGAUCAGAGCACAAAUGAUUCCCUUCCUUGUGGAACACGUUCCAACAUCAAUCACUCUUUUGUUACCUGUCAGCACAAGUUGCCGUUUUCGGAAAGCAUUUCAUAAUUAAAAAUCUAAUCUUUAGUGGUAGUUGCUUUGGUCAAUAAAUCAAAAUGGCGAGUAGCUAACUACUGACAUUUAUCCUAAUACCACUUGUUCAGACCUCUCAGAUCUUUCUUGGCAUUAUCUUCGCUCCUCCUCGUUUUAGUUUCACCCCUGGGAAUCCCAGCUGCAUGGAUCCUCCCUAUAGUAGCAGCUGUUUCAUCCGUUUAUUCCCCCAUUAGACAAUACGAAUUUAUCUUUUGGUUGUUUUAGCUGAGACAAAUCAACGCAUUGCAACUCGAAUUACAGCAUGAAUUUCACGGCUGAGGGCGGAAGAUCUAGUGGGAACCCGCUUCAUGGAUGUCAUUACGCUGCUACGAUCUCAAUCAAUCAAGCACGAAUGGCGACAGCCAGGCAGACAGACAAAGCCAGGUAAACAUUAAUUGAGUCAUUAAGUGCAAACAAGGCGAGGCGUAACUGAUUAGAUAAAAUUGUAAAGCAUUUGGAAUGGUUAUUAAAAGAAUAAAUAAUGAAGCCAAGAGUGGAAAUGAUACAGAGAGGAGUUACGACUAAUCAAGAUCUGCAAGAAACUACAAGAAGCUAUAUAAAGUAACUUCAAAAACAAUUACAUAUAUCUUACUCGACAAAACACUUUUCGUAAAUCACUCAUUUCGUACAACUUCUGUGAAACCCAAUCUUUCAAUCUGCGGCUCAAUCAUCGUGCAUUCCAUUUGAUGGUCACCCUUCUAGAACCGAACUCCAUGCGGCGUAAUUCACAAUUAAUUGAAUUAUAGACCAUACUCAACUCGACUCGAAUCGACUCAACUCCAAUUCCGAGAACCGAGCGAUUAUUCUAUAAAACGAAGGCUAAGCUCCGUUCAAGUCCCUCACUUCAUUUUCGGAGUGGUUCGAGCUUUGCGUGUUUUGUCAGACGCAAUAUAACGGAAAUGUUUGUCUAUCCCCUCGCCGAUUUCCUCAACUGGCCCCCAGAAAUCGCCUCGGAUUCACCAGCAAAUGAUGUAAGCCCGACUGAAGAACGGGCCCGGCCCCAGAAGAAGGGGCUUGGCCCCGUCUCGCCUCCGUAAUGGAGUGGAAGUCACUUUAUUAUUACAACAUUUUCCAUUUCGCCUCGCUAAAAUAAUAAUUCGCGCUUCAUUUUUUACAACACACCAACCAACGAACGACACAACGAAGCGUCGACCAAUGGAGAAGCCAUUGACCCCGAGGUUCGCUCAGAAUGGAAUGGGUUGGGAUGGGAUGGGAUGGCCAGGCUAAAGCCUCAGUCCCCAUUCUCAUUGCCAAAGCCCUCCCCAAACUCCUCUUUGAUCCGGCUCUGAGCUGAACGGCAACCAGACUUACAAUUGAGGCUAAAAGAAUGGGGCUUAUCUUAGAAUCUGUAGAUUUUACUUCAAAUAUAGAAAACAACCAUGCUGAAUCUUCAAAUGUUAAAUCUUGGUAACCUGAUCUACGACCUUGAGCUCAAAAAUUGAAUGCAUAUGCCCGAUCUGUGAUUAAAUCAUACCGAUUAAGCCAA